rnacentral:lncRNA from 1 species
UGUACCGGUACGCGCUGAUAGCUAUACCGAUGCGCGGCUGGUGUACCGGUACACAGACAGAUUUCGUGCAAACCCGAGGCUCGGGUUGGGCUGUUUCGUAGGUGUUGUACCGGUACGUGACCCCGUGUACCGGUACACAGUGCAGUGCGAGCAGUUUUCAAGCAGGGGUGUUUUUGCAAUUGUUACAACACCUAUAUAUGUUACCCCAGCCC